UGGUGGAGCGAUUUGUCUGGUUAAUUCCGAUAACGAACGAGACCUUAACCUGCUAAAUAGUCCGGCCGGCUUUUGCUGGUCGCAGACUUCUUAGAGGGACUGUCAGCGUCUAGCUGACGGAAGUUUGAGGCAAUAACA
rnacentral:rRNA from 1 species